UUUCCUCCUCAGACGUUCUUUAAUCCAAGCAACCAUGAGCCCUUUGCUAAGCUUCCUCUUCUCAGCAGCAAUGUUAUCAGGUGUCUGGUCUGAAAUCCAGUUUGUCCAGUCUGGGGCAGAAAUCAAAAAGCCUGGAGAGUCUGUGAAACUGACCUGUAAAGCGUCCGGCUACACAUUUAAUCAGUAUGGAAUGAACUGGGUCCGACAGGCUCCUGGGAAAGGACUGGAAUGGGUGGCAUCCAUCAGGACAGAUACUUUUGAGGCUUUCUAUCCCCCAAAUCUGAAAGGGCGAGCCACCAUCAGCGUGGAUGUCCCCCUCAGCACAGCGUAUUUGCAAAUGAACGGCCUGAAAUCUGAAGACACCGCUGUGUAUUACUGUGCAAGGGGCGCAGUGAGAAGAGACACAUCCCUGCCAUUCAUAAACCCCGACAGAAAGGGCUCACUGCUGCUGACAGUGGUAUCAAAAUGCAAUCUCAAGAGUUGCCUUCUGUGCCUAAGACGACCGAGCACCAUGCAGAAGAACAGACGAGAUGAGGCGGAAGAGCAGUGGGACCACGUAACAGAAAUAAUCAGGCUGACAAGCCGCACUGAUGCACCAAGCCAGCCCUUGCUCUUCAGCGUGCGCGACUUUUAA